rnacentral:rRNA from 1 species
GCGGCACGCUUAACACAUGCAAGUCGAACGAGAUCUUCGGAUCUAGUGGCAGACGGGUGAGUAACGCGUGGGAACCUGCCCAGUAGUAGAGAAUAACUUGGGGAAACUUAAGCUAAUACUUUAUACGUCCUUAGGGAGAAAGCUUUAUGCGCUAUUGGAUGGGCCCGCGUUAGAUUAGUUUGUUGGUGAGGUAAUGGCUCACCAAGGCGACGAUCUAUAGCUGGUCUGAGAGGAUGAUCAGCCACACUGGGACUGAGACACGGCCCAGACUCCUACGGGAGGCAGCAGUGGGGAAUAUUGGACAAUGGGGGCAACCCUGAUCCAGCGAUGCCGCGUGAGUGAUGAAGGCCCUAGGGUUGUAAAACUCUUUCGUCAGGGAAGAUAAUGACGGUACCUGAAGAAGAAGAUCCGGC